rnacentral:lncRNA from 1 species
UAAAUCGUCAUAUAUGGCUCCUACACUCUACCUCCUACCUCAGUGGCACAAAGACAUUGGAUAUACCUGAGGCUGUCUUCACCCAGGUCAUUUCAUGCCUCUUGGGGUGCCCAGCAGACUAGGCACCAGCACAUGGAAAGAAGACCUUGUGACUGCUGGGCCCCUUACCAGGUGGUCUCUCUAUAUUUCAGAGCUGAUCUCUUGAGUAUGGAGGCGGAAAAAUCCAUUCCUGACUGCAGUGGUGAAGUGGAUGCAUGGAAUCCCCAGCAAGGUCCUGGCAGGCAAGUCCUUGUUGGCCCCAAUAAAUCAAUGAUGGUGGCGGGAGACUCACUCCCUCCACGGGCUCCGCAUAAGCCAGAGCACGCAGUGGCAGACAAAGGAGGGUGAAACCAGCAUGUGUGUGCCUCUCAUAAAUGCUUUCCCUAUGUUCAUAAAUUGUCAUUUAAUUUUAAUAACAACCAAUUAGAAGAUGAUUGUGAAACCAUUAAACAGAUGAAUAAACUGAGGCUACCAGAGAUUAUGUCUUUCCCCAGGCUAUACUGCUGGUGGGUAAUCAAGCCAGGAUUACUACCCAGAUUUGUCCGACUGCAAUACUCAUAUUCUUUUUACCAGGCACCGUGCAAAGUGGUGUGCAUGUAUUUUCUCAUUUAAUCAUGAUAAAAAUCCUCAAAGAUGGAUAUUAGCAUCUCAGAUUUACAAAUAAAGAAACUGAAGCUUUGCAGAAUUCAUUAACUUGCCUGAGUUCUUGCUGUUAUGAAGUGGCAGAGGGCACUCCAACCCAAUCUCACUCCAGAGUCCAC